GGGAGGGUACAGCUCAGUGGUAGAGUGCUUGCUUUGCAUGCAUGAGGUCCUGGGUUCAAUCCCCAGCACCUCCA